GGAGACCUCACAUUGAAGGACUACCACGACCCACCACCGGCGCCACUGGUCGACCCUGAGGAAUUGGGGUCCUGGUCCUUUUACAGGGCCAUCAUUGCCGAGUUCGUGGCCACCCUUUUGUUCCUCUACGUUACUGUGUUGACGGUGAUUGGGUACAAGAACCAGACUGAUCCCUACCAUCACGGAAAUGAAUGCAACGGGGUUGGUAUUCUUGGCAUUGCUUGGGCCUUUGGUGGCAUGAUCUUCAUCCUUGUUUACUGCACCGCCGGCAUCUCUGGUGAGCUCUCUCUUUCUCUCUCUGUUUGGUUAACAGGAAAGCAAAGAAAAAUAUGAAAUUCAAGUAGCAUUUUUUCAACCACAAUGAUCAUCAUUCUUUUAACAUAUUGCGGAUGUUCACGCUACAACGCGCAGGAGGGCAUAUUAAUCCUGCAGUGACGUUCGGGCUAUUCCUGGCUAGAAAGGUGUCGCUGGUCCGAGCCGUGAUGUACAUGGUGGCCCAGUGCGGGGGAGCCAUCUGCGGCUGUGGCCUGGUCAAGCUAUUCCAGGAUAUUUACUACAUCAGAUACGGUGGUGGCGCCAAUGAGCUCGCCUCUGGAUACAGUAUAGGAACGGGGUUGGCUGCUGAGAUUAUUGGCACCUUCGUUCUUGUCUACACCGUCUUCUCUGCUACUGAUCC
rnacentral:lncRNA from 1 species